rfam:Pochonia chlamydosporia 170 chromosome 6, whole genome shotgun sequence.
AACUGGGUAGUUCAAUGGUAGAGCGUCUGGCUACAACACAAAGCAUCAUUAUAGUAUCUUUAGUAGUCAGAAGAUGCAGGUUCGAUUCCUGUCCCGGUUA